GGUCGCUUAGCUCAGUUGGUUAGAGCGUGGUGCUAAUAUGGCAGCUCUCACAGAGAGUUUGUGUAACGCCAAGGUCGCGAGUUCGACCCUCGUAGUGACCA